ACCCUUAUAGAUCAAUGGUCGAGCGUUGGCUUUGGAGGCCACAGGUCGGUGGUUCAAAUCCACUCGGGCGCA
rfam:Phytophthora infestans T30-4 supercont1.25 genomic scaffold, whole genome shotgun sequence.